AUCUAGCUGACGAGUCCCGAAUAGGACGAAAUGUGCAUCCUGGAU
rnacentral:hammerhead_ribozyme from 1 species